rnacentral:RNase_P_RNA from 1 species
GGAGGAUGCAAGGUGGUCGCUGCCAUCUUUUUGCGGAUGGCAGAGGAAAGUCCGGACACCGCAGGGCAGGGAGGUCGGUAACACCGACCGGGGGCAACCCUAGGGAAAGGGCCACAGAAAACAGACCGCCGGUGGUAACCAUGCCGCCGGUAAGGGUGAAACGGUGGGGUAAGAGCCCACCAGCCUGAUGGGUGACCAUCAGGGCUUGGCAACCCCCUCCCGGUGCAAGGCCAAAUAGGUUCCGCCUCAAGGAUUGCCCGUCCUUAUCCUCCCCCAAGAGGGAGGUGGCGGAACGGGUAGGCCGCUUGAGACCGAUGGCAACAUCGGUCCAAGAUGAAUGACCACCAUCGCCACACAGGGCGAUACAGAAUCCGGCUUAUUGCAUCCUCCAUAA